GGUCUAGUGCUGUGUGGAAGACUAGUGAUUUUGUUGUUCUGAUAUCCAUUGACAACAAGUCACAGCCGGCCUCACAGCGUGGACU
rnacentral:pre_miRNA from 1 species